rnacentral:rRNA from 1 species
UUAUCUCUGUAGAGUCUGCAUAUCAAUAAGCGGAGGAAAAGAAACUAACAAGGAUUCCCCUAGUAACGGCGAGUGAAGCGGGAAGAGCUCAAAUUUGAAAUCUUCAAGGUUUGACCUUGACGAAUUGUAGUUUAAAGAAGUGUUUUCGGUUAGAGGAGUAGUAAAAGUUCUUUGGAAUAGGACAUCAUAGAGGGUGAGAAUCCCGUAUUUGACUAUUCUUUCUAGCUUUGUGAUACACUUUCAAAGAGUCGGAUUGUUUGGGAAUGCAGUCCAAAAUGGGUGGUAAAUUUCAUCUAAAGCUAAAUAUUGGCGAGAGACCGAUAGCGAACAAGUACCGUGAGGGAAAGAUGAAAAGAACUUUGAAAAGAGAGUUAAACAGUACGUGAAAUUGUCAAAAGGGAAGCGUUUGACACCAGUGUUGUUUUUCCGAAAAUCAAUUAAAAAUUGAUUCAUGCCAGGUUGUAUUGACCUUAUCAGCUUGCAACUUGGUUUUGGGUCUCUUUUUGAUGCACUUUUCGGUUAACAAGUCAACAUCAAUUUCCUUUGCUGUAAAAAGGUAAGAGGAAGGUGGCUUCAAUUUCGGUUGAAGUGUUUAUAGCCUUUUAUCUCUGCAGUCGGGGAGAUUGAGGUCUGCAGCGUAGAUCCUUCGGGGCUAGAUACAUUUAUGCUAAGUUAUAGCUUUUCAUAGACAACUUGUUGACUAUGUUUAGUCAUGUAGCUUACUCGUAAGUGCUAUUUUACCUACGCUUAGGAUGUUGAAGACUCUACAGAGAUA